CUACGCGCUUCUCGCGGGCUGCGGCUUAGUCAUCUGAGUUGCAGAGUCACGAGGUGGCUGGGGGAUGAGGUCCCCUGCUUACUGACAUUAAUUCAUCAGGAGACGCUUUAACCGCUGUCCUUUUUUUUACAAAAGGGGGAAGCUGGAAUCCGGGUGACAAAGAGAAGUCACCCGGCCAACUGUGUCAUCUGAAAGCGGUAACUGCUCGAAAGCCCCGCUUUCAUCUGUAAAACUGGUUAACUGCACGGCCGGCCGGGUGCUUCUAGGGGAAAAGCCAGCCAAAAGGACAAAGAAGAGCUUCACUUCUGAGCCUCACCAGUGGGUGCUACCCUCUGACCAGCUUUCUCUAUACAGUCAGCAAUGCCAAGACUGGUUUCUUCAACAAAAACCCAAAGGCAGAUUUACCUCCUCUCUCCACUGGCUCUUGUACCUUGCUACAAAUUCACAACAAGGUCAAUUGAGCAUAAGCGUCCACAUUUGUAGCUGUUUUGCAGAAUAGUUUUGCAUUUGUUGGGUCUUAUAAUAAAAUAUUUGGACUUGUAUUUUGUCUUUCAUUUUUGUUCCAUGUUUUAAAAUUCAUUUGUAUUAUAUUUUAUAAAAGUUUU
rnacentral:lncRNA from 1 species